GGCUACACACGGGAGGGGCGGAGCUACAGAGUGCAGUUUGCCUCUGGAGAGAGUCGACACUUUGCCACGGUCAGCAAGCCAGCAGUUCGUAGGUUCUGCGCAGCGACUCGUCAGCUUCCAGACUCUGGUAGUAGUUUCCAUAAGGCGCCAACUGGAGGGUGGAGGUGUCCGUAAAGAUCUCUGGUGCAUCCUGAUUGGCCUGCAAGCAGCAGGAUUCCCGUCUUCAGUUCUGACAGUUUGGGGGAGAUCUGGUUCCUCGGCGAAGAGCCUCCGGACAGAGAACGGCUCGGAAACUCCCAGGAUUCCACCAAACGAUAGGAGAUCGAUAGCAGCUUCAGAACCUAGAACCAAUCAGUGCAAACGAGAUCAGUAAAAGGUUCAGGACCUAGAACCGCUCCACUAACAGCAGGACCCUAGAACCAAAGGACCUACAUGAGGACACCAGCUUCAGAACCUUAUUCUUAGUCCGUGUCCAGCAGCAAUGGUCCGAUGUUGAUGUUCUGAAAGUGCCUUUUAAAUAAAGUUGAUUUG